GAUGAACGCUAGCGGCAGGCUUAACACAUGCAAGUCGAGGGGCAGCAUGAAGGUUAGCAAUAACCUUUGAUGGCGACCGGCGCAAGGGUGCGUAACGCGUGAGCAACUUGCCCGUUUCAGGGGGAUAACCGGUGGAAACGCCGACUAAUACCCCAUGGCAUCGUCUGGAGGCAUCUCCAUUCGAUUAAAGAGUUUCGGAAACGGAUAGGCUCGCGUGACAUUAGCUAGACGGCGGGGUAACGGCCCACCGUGGCGACGAUGUCUAGGGGUUCUGAGAGGAAGGUCCCCCACACUGGAACUGAGACACGGUCCAGACUCCUACGGGAGGCAGCAGUGAGGAAUAUUGGUCAAUGGGCAGAGCCUGGAACCAGCCAAGUAGCGUGAAGGAAGACUGCCCUAUGGGUUGUAAACUUCUUUUGUUCGGGAAUAAAGUUCAGUAUGUAUACUGUUUUGUAUGUACCGUUCGAAUAAGCAUCGGCUAAUUCCGUG
rnacentral:rRNA from 1 species